CUACGAGUGGCUGCAGUGGGGAAUAUUGGGCAAUGGGCGCAAGCCUGACCCAGCAACGCCGCGUGAGGGAAGAAGGUUUUCGGAUUGUAAACCUCUGUCCUUGGGGACGAAGAAGUGACGGUACCCAAGGAGGAAGCUCCGGCUAACUACGUGCCAGCAGCCGCGGUAAUACGUAGGGAGCAAGCGUUGUCCGGAAUUACUGGGCGUAAAGGGUGCGUAGGCGGCAUAUUAAGUCAGGUGUGAAAUACUCGGGCUCAACCCGGGGGCUGCAUUUGAAACUGAUAUGCUUGAGUGUGAGAGAGGAAAGUGGAAUUCCUAGUGUAGCGGUGGAAUGCGUAGAUAUUAGGAGGAGCACCAGUGGCGAAGGCGACUUUCUGGCUCAUAACUGACGCUGAGGCACGAAAGCGUGGGGAGCAAACAGGAUUAGAUACCCCCGUAGUC
rnacentral:rRNA from 1 species